CAGCAGCCGCGGGAAUACGUAGGGUGCGGGCGUUAAUCGGAAUUACUGGGCGUAAAGCGUGCGCAGGCGGUUCGUUAAGACAGAUGUGAAAUCCCCGGGCUUAACCUGGGAACUGCAUUUGUGACUGGCGAGCUAGAGUAUGGCAGAGGGGGGUAGAAUUCCACGUGUAGCAGUGAAAUGCGUAGAGAUGUGGAGGAAUACCGAUGGCGAAGGCAGCCCCCUGGGCCAAUACUGACGCUCAUGCACGAAAGCGUGGGGAGCAAACAGGAUUAGAUACCCCGGUAGUCCCUGUCUCUUAUAC
rnacentral:rRNA from 1 species